rnacentral:lncRNA from 1 species
AAAAACCGAUCAUUAGGUAUCCAACGUUUUACAGAGUCGGAAAAAAAAAAAAAGUUAAUGCCACUGAAGUGAUAGCUCAGUGGAACUGGGCCAUUAUAACCAUUCAUGCGGUCCGAGUUCGAAACGCGCGGGUGUCGAUUAAAUAUGGAAAUUGGAUGUUCUCUGCUCGGACACGUAGGGUGGGAGAGCUUAUUGGUCCUCUGAUAGCUUCAGUGGUGCCAGGUGUGACGCACUCACACGGAGGAUUCGUGCCGGAGCUCAGAGAAGUAGCUGAGCCGAGCCUACAGAUGGAAAGGAUAUGAGUAAAACCGGUCGGGGUGCUCAACACACGGUCAUUUCUGCCCGCAUCGAACAUUCUUCUGACGGGGUGGGAAGCCAGUGGAAGCUGCUACGCAGGAGUGGGCUUGUCCUUCCUCCCCCCU